rnacentral:lncRNA from 1 species
CCUACAUCAGUUUGUGGACUAAAGACGUAGACUAAAGCUUUUGAAACUAUAGAAACAGCCUACGGAGACAUAGGAAUGCCUUUUUUGGAAAUAGCAACGAAAUGAAUUAUCAUAAUUGAUAUAUAUUAUUUCAAAAAAAGUGUGUGACGUCAUAUGUUUUCUUUUUCUAAUUUUUAUCGGUCCAGACCACGGUCCAUUGACUCACUCAGUUUAGACGACCUAUGGAUAGUCGGUACCGUUCACUCAGUCCAGGCCGACCUAACAAUACUGAUAAGGCAAUCAGUCCUAGUGAUGUAAAUCCUGUAAUUUAUUUAGUUGCAUGCCGAUUGUACACAGGAUUUUCAACACUGCAUAUGAAUCAUGAUAUAUAUCAUAGAGCCAUAACAAAAACAAACAGGAACAGUUCUCCUUCAUAUUUGUAAAAUGUUUAUUUCUUAGAUCAAAAUAUGUUUAUGAUAUAAUCCAAGGAACACUAUAUGUGGUGCACCCUGUGACUGUUUUUCAUACAUACCGAGGGUCGUUUGAAAAUUCCGUGCAAAGUCUGAAAGAUGGGUUAUUCGUAUCUCUUGGAAGAACACACAACACCUCUCAACCAGAUCGGUCUAUUUCUUUCUGUUUGGCAUCUUUCAAAUUACAGUAAUUAGAAUGAUGGUUUCAUUAAUGUGGCCUGCAAAUUGAUCUCUUCAUCUCAUUUUGGCUAACAACCAGAAACUAUUGAGAACCCCUGCAUUAAGAUGUCAACUAUUUCAUUUAGCAUUCUAAAAGAAGGAUAUUAACGUCCAAAGAAAUGAAACUUUCUGCCGAUCUGGCUGUUGGGUUAGCGUAUCACAGCCAAAGGAUUGGAUUGAUAUAUAUCAAAAUUUACUUCCAUAAAUAAAAUAAGUGAUAAUUUUGAUGACUUUAAGCUUGAUAAUCUCUUUUAUGACUUUUUUGAGAGAAAAUACGGUUAAACCUUGAUCUAACGCACCUCGAUGCAACGGAUUUCGGAUGCAAUAUACAACAUCUGGUACAAAAAAAUUAUCUACUUGGCCGCAUGGGCGAUUUGUUGAUAGCACCCAAGUAUAUCCUUAAAUAUAAUGAAUUAAUUAAGAUAAAAGACUGGAAUUUAAAUCAAGUUUAUAACACUGACAAACUCGCUUUGUUUUGGAGGUCGCUUCGGAAGAAUACACAAGCCUUUCGGAACAAAGAAAAAACGUACGAGAAGAAAUAUGUAAGGUGUAAUGUAUUCGUAUUUCCUUCCACCUUGUUCUCUUAUUUUCUUGUAUGUAUAUAUAUGAGUAAAGUACAGUCUCUUACCUCGUUUGAAGUAUAAAUAAUCGUGUAUUUUAUGUAUGUAUCAGAGUAGGUUUUUGUAUUAAUAAGAAUAUAAUUGUUCCUAU